rnacentral:rRNA from 1 species
GACGAACGCCGGCGGCGUGCUUAACACAUGCAAGUCGAGCGGAAAGGCCACUUCGGUGGUACUCGAGCGGCGAACGGGUGAGUAACACGUGAGUAAUCUGCCCCUGGCUUCGGGAUAGCCACCGGAAACGGUGAUUAAUACCGGAUAUGACCACGUCUCGCAUGGGGUGUGGUGGAAAGUUUUUCGGCCAGGGAUGUGCUCGCGGCCUAUCAGCUUGAUGGUGAGGUAAUGGCUCACCAUGGCUUCGACGGGUAGCCGGCCUGAGAGGGUGACCGGUCACACUGGGACUGAGACACGGCCCAGACUCCUACGGGAGGCAGCAGUGGGGAAUAUUGGACAAUGGGCGGAAGCCUGAUCCAGCAACGCCGCGUGAGGGAUGACGGCCUUCGGGUUGUAAACCUCUUUCAGUACCGACGAAGCGCAAGUGACGGUAGGUACAGAAGAAGCACCGGCCAACUACGUGCCAGCCGCCGCCGUAAGAC